AUAUCAAUAAGCGGAGGAAAAGAAACCAACAGGGAUUGCCCUAGUAACGGCGAGUGAAGCGGCAACAGCUCAAAUUUGAAAUCUGGCGCAAGCCCGAGUUGUAAUUUGUAGAGGAUGCUUCUGGGUAGCGACCGGUCUAAGUUCCUUGGAACAGGACGUCAUAGAGGGUGAGAAUCCCGUAUGUGACCGGCCCGCACCCUACACGUAGCUCCUUCGACGAGUCGAGUUGUUUGGGAAUGCAGCUCUAAAUGGGAGGUAAAUUUCUUCUAAAGCUAAAUACCGGCCAGAGACCGAUAGCGCACAAGUAGAGUGAUCGAAAGAUGAAAAGUACUUUGGAAAGAGAGUUAAAAAGCACGUGAAAUUGUUGAAAGGGAAGCGCCUGCAACCAGACUUCGUGGCAGUGUUCCGCCGGUCUUCUGACCGGUUUAUUCUCUGUCGCGAGGCCAUCAUCGUCUGGGCCCGCCGGAUAAGACCUGAGGAAUGUGGCUCUCCUUCGGGGGAGUGUUAUAGCCUCUGGUGAUGCGGCGAGGCUCGGGCGAGGUCCGCGCUUCGGCAAGGAUGAUGGCGUAAUGGUUGUCGGCGGCCCGUCUUGAAACACGGACCAAGGAGUCUAACAUCUAUGCGAGUGUUCGGGUGUCAAACCCCUACGCGUAAUGAAAGUGAACGGAGGUGGGAACCGCAAGGUGCACCAUCGACCGAUCCUGAUGUCCUCGGAUGGAUUUGAGUAAGAGCAUAGCUGUUGGGACCCGAAAGAUGGUGAACUAUGCCUGAAUAGGGUGAAGCCAGAGGAAACUCUGGUGGAGGCUCGCAGCGGUUCUGACGUGCAAAUCGAUCGUCAAAUUUGGGUAUAGGGGCGAAAGACUAAUCGAACCAUCUAGUAGCUGGCUC
rnacentral:rRNA from 1 species